UACAGAGGGUGCGAGCGUUAAUCGGAAUUACUGGGCGUAAAGCGCGCGUAGGUGGACAAUUAAGUCAUGUGUGAAAGCCCCGGGCUCAACCCGGGAACUGCAUGUGAGACUGGUUGUCUAGAGUGUGGUAGAGGGAAGUAGAAUUUCCGGUGUAGCGGUGAAAUGCAUAGAUAUCGGAAGGAAUACCAGUGGCGAAGGCGACUUCCUGGGCCACUACUGACACUGAGGCGCGAAAGCGUGGGGAGCAAACAGG
rnacentral:rRNA from 1 species